GAUGAACGCUGGCGGUGUGCCUAAUACAUGCAAGUCGAGCGAAGCGGGGACGGGUGAGUAACACGUGGAUAACCUCCUAUAAGACGGGGGUAACUUCGGGAAACCGGAGGUAAACCGGAUAAUUAUCGAUGGAUCUGCGCUGCAUUAGCUAGGUGGUAAGGUAACGGCGUACCAAGGCCACGAUGCAUAGCCGACCUGAGAGGAUGAGCAGCCACACUGGAACUGAGACACGGUCCAGACUCCUACGGGAGGCAGCAGUAGGGAAUCUUCCGCAAUGGGCGAAAGCCUGACGGAGCAACGCCGCGUGAGUGAUGAAGGCCUUCGGAUCGUAAAGCUCUGUUAUUAGGGAAGCGGUACCUAAGCAGAAAGCCACGGCUAACUACGUGCCAGCAGCCGCGGUAAUUC
rnacentral:rRNA from 1 species